UAUUGCACAAUGGGGGGAAACCCGGAUGCAGCGACGCCGCGUGAGUGAAGAAGUCUUUCGGUAUGUAAAGCUCUACCAGCAGGGAAGAAAAUGACGGUACCUGUUUAAGAAGCCCCGCCUACCUACGUGCCAGCAGCCGCGGUAAUACGUAGGGGGCAAGCGUUAUCCGGAUUUACUGGGUGUAAAGGGAGCGUAGACGGCAGCACAAGUCUGGAGUGAAAUGCCGGGGCUUAACCCCGGAACUGCUUUGGUAACUGUGCAGCUAGAGUGCAGGAGAGGUAAGUGGAAUUCCUAGUGUAGCGGUGAAAUGCGUAGAUAUUAGGAGGAACACCAGUGGCGAAGGCGGCUUACUGGACUGUAACUGACGUUGAGGCUCGAAAGCGUGGGGAGCAAACAGG
rnacentral:rRNA from 1 species